GAUGAACGCUGGCGGCGUGCCUAAUACAUGCAAGUCGAGCGAACAGAUGAGGAGCUUGCUCCUCUGACGUUAGCGGCGGACGGGUGAGUAACACGUGGAUAACCUACCUAUAAGACUGGGAUAACUUCGGGAAACCGGAGCUAAUACCGGAUAAUAUAUUGAACCGCAUGGUUCAAUAGUGAAAGACGGUUUUGCUGUCACUUAUGGAUGGAUCCGCGCCGCAUUAGCUAGUUGGUAAGGUAACGGCUUACCAAGGCAACGAUGCGUAGCCGACCUGAGAGGGUGAUCGGCCACACUGGAACUGAGACACGGUCCAGACUCCUACGGGAGGCAGCAAUAGGGAAUCUUCCGCAAUGGGCGAAAGCCUGACGGAGCAACGCCGCGUGAGUGAUGAAGGUCUUCGGAUCGUAAAACUCUGUUAUUAGGGAAGAACAAAUGUGUAAGUAACUAUGCACGUCUUGACGGUACCUAAUCAGAAAGCCACGGCUAACUACGUG
rnacentral:rRNA from 1 species